rnacentral:rRNA from 1 species
GACGAACGCUGGCGGCGUGCCUAACACAUGCAAGUCAACUUGACUGAAGGAGCAAUCUGACAGUAGAGUGGCGCAAGGGUGCGUAACGCGUAAGUAACUUGCCCAAGGUAAGGAAUAACGUCGAGAAAUCGGCGCUAAUACCUCAUAAUGCAGCGGAUCCGCAUGGAUAUGUUGUUAAAGGUUUACCGCCUUGGGAUAGGCUUGCGUCUGAUUAGUUAGUUGGUGUGGUAACGGCACACCAAGGCUACGAUCAGUAACUGGUCUGAGAGGAUGAUCAGUCACACUGGAACUGAGACACGGUCCAGACUCCUACGGGAGGCAGCAGUGAGGAAUAUUGGGCAAUGCUCGAAAGAGUGACCCAGCAACGCCGCGUGGAGGAUGAAGGUAUUCUAUAUCGUAAACUCCUGUGAGAGCAGACGAAAGACAGAUUAUUAAUCUGGAUGACUGUAUGCUCAGAGGAAGCCCGGCUAACUACGUGCCAG